rnacentral:rRNA from 1 species
UACGGAGGGUGCAAGCGUUGUCCGGAAUCACUGGGCGUAAAGGGCGCGUAGGCGGCUCAUGAAGGCUGUGGUGAAAGUCCGGGGCUCAACCUCCGGAUCGGCCGUGGCGACUCGUGGGCUGGAGCACUGUAGAGGCGGGUGGAAUUCCGGGUGUAGCGGUGGAAUGCGUAGAGAUCCGGAAGAACACCAGUGGCGAAGGCGGCCC